UACGUAGGGUGCAAGCGUUAUCCGGAAUUAUUGGGCGUAAAGAGCUCGUAGGCGGUUUGUCGCGUCUGCUGUGAAAACUGGAGGCUCAACCUCCAGCCUGCAGUGGGUACGGGCAAACUAGAGUGCGGUAGGGGAGAUUGGAAUUCCUGGUGUAGCGGUGGAAUGCGCAGAUAUCAGGAGGAACACCGAUGGCGAAGGCAGAUCUCUGGGCCGUAACUGACGCUGAGGAGCGGAAAGCAUGGGGAGCGAACAG
rnacentral:rRNA from 1 species